ACAGAAGGUGUGGGUGGACAAAGCAAAGCAGAGCCCUGACCUCACACCAGCUGGCCGAGCUGUCUUGGCUUGCAUUUGCUGUUCCAGCAUUUGUGGAGUUUGAAAUCUGCAUGCUUGGAGUGCGGAGAGCUGGAUCUUGCACCACAGUCUCCCUGUGGGCUCUUGAAUGAGAAAACCAGGGGAAGCAGAGGUAAGAACCUGUUCAAGAAGGCACAUCUCAGAUGUGGAAGAACCAUGAUUCAACUCGAGUCUGUCUGCUUCCCAAGACUAUGGUAUUUAAACAGCUUAUAAUGAAAAUUCCUUCUAUAGCUCCCCAUAAAAGGGCACACAGUUCUUUCUUAACGUAUUAUUUCAGGCAUUCAUUCACCAUUCAUGUAUUUGUGAAGAUGUUCUCUCUAAAUAAACUAUUGGGACCUUA
rnacentral:lncRNA from 1 species